rnacentral:rRNA from 1 species
UACGGAGGGUGCAAGCGUUAUCCGGAUUCACUGGGUUUAAAGGGUGUGUAGGCGGGCAGUUAAGUCAGUGGUGAAAUCUCCAGGCUCAACCUGGAAACUGCCAUUGAUACUAUCUGUCUUGAAUUCUGUUGAGGUGGGCGGAAUACAUCAUGUAGCGGUGAAAUGCUUAGAUAUGAUGUAGAACACCGAUUGCGAAGGCAGCUCACUAAGCAGCGAUUGACGCUGAGGCACGAAAGCGUGGGAGUCAAA